CCAGCCACUGCCACUGUCUUCGGGAGCACCAGUCAAUGCCCAGGGUGUCUGCCUGGGUACACGCCUUGCUCAGCUCAGCCAAGAGGAUGUAGUUCUGCACUCGGAGAGCAGCUCCCUCUCAGAGUCAGGUGCCAGCCAUGAUAAUGAAGAGCCUCAUAGCUGCUUCCCUCUAACGGAGCGCCCCUCCCCACCAAAAGCCUGGGACCAGUUUCGGGCGGUAUCUGGGGGGAGCCCCGAGCGACGUGCCCCAUGGAAACCUCCGCCAUCAGAUAUUUAUGGGGACCUGAAGAGCCGGCGCAACUCUGUGGCCAGCCCCACCAGCCCCACACGCUCGCUGCCCAGGAGUGCCUCCAGUUUUGAGGGGCGAAGUGUGCCUGCUACCCCUGUCCUCACCCGGGGCAGUGGCCCCCGGCUCUGCAAGUAAGGGGACUCUUGAGGGUGGGUCUGAAUAUGAGAGGAGGAAGACUGUAGUCCUAACUGUAGAUGUUGAAUUACCCGAAGAUGUGGGACUUGGGCAGCCGGCCUUUGAAAGGCGGAUAGAAGUUGGAGUGGGAAUUGGAGGCAGAGGUGUGAAAGUGGGGCUUUCCCGUGUUUUCUUGGAUGCCAUUUUCUUUCUCUGAA
rnacentral:lncRNA from 1 species